rnacentral:misc_RNA from 1 species
UGGAAGUAAAAGUCGUAACAAGUUCCGUAGGUGAACCUGCGGAAGGAUCAUUAAUAAAUGGCUCCGCGUUAGGAGCACUUAAUAAUCCUACCCUUGUGAAUUGUUGUUGAAUAAUUUUUUUUAAAAUUAUUGAAUGUCUUCCCUGUUGAUUAGAGUGUUUCGGACACAAAGAUUCGCAGGGGAUAGUCAAUAAUUUUAAAAAGACCUUUUUUAAAUUAAACUUUUGUAUUCAUUUGUCUAAAUUAUUUUAUAAUAUAAAACAACUUUUGACAAUGGAUCUCUUGGUUCUCGCAACGAUGAAGAACGCAGCAAAAUGCGAUAAGUAGUGUGAAUUGCAGAAUACGUGAAUCAUCGAAUCUUCGAACGCAUAUUGCACUUUUUUAGUUUACUAAAAAAGUAUGUCUGUUUGAGUAUCAGUAAAUAUUCUCAUAAAACAUUGUUUUAUGGUUAUGAGUGUUUUACAACGAUACAAGUUGUUUCACUUUAAAUUUUUUAAAUUUGAUUUUUCUAAUUUUAAAAUAAAAUUGGAUAAAAUUUUCCCGUAAAAAGGAAUAACCUAAACAAUUUAAUUUAAAUUAGAACCUUCAAAAAAAAAGGAAUUUAAUAAAUAACUUGAUCUCAAAUCAGAUAAGAGUACCCGCUGAACUUAGCAUAUCAAUAAGCGGAGGAAAGAAACUAACAAGGAUUCCCUUAGUAACGGCGAGUGAAGCGGGAAGAGCUCAAAUUGAAAUCUUCAAGGUUUUACCUUGACGAAUUGUAGUUUAAAGAAGUGUUUUCUGUUGAAGUUUGGUAAAAGUUCUUGGAAUAGGACAUCAUAGAGGGUGAGAAUCCCGUAUUUGACCAUUAUUUUCAGCUGUGUGAUACACUUUCAAAGAGUCGGAUUGUUUGGAAUGCGUCCAAAAUGGGUGGUAAAUUUCAUCUAAAGCUAAUAUGGCGAGAGACCGAUAGCGAACAAGUACCGUGAGGGAAAGAUGAAAGAACUUUGAAAGAGAGUUAAACAGUACGUGAAAUUGUCAAAGGGAAGCGUUGACACAGUGUUGUUUCUCGAAAUCAUUAAAAGAGUUGGAUUUGUGUGUAUUGACCUUAACAGCUUCUUCACUCUUUUCCUGCUUUUUUAAUGCACUUUCGUUAACAAGUCAACAUCAGUUUCUUUUGUUGUAAAAGGGUCAUUGGAAGGUGGCUUUCUUUUCGGAGAAAGUGUUAUAGCCUUGAUCCUGCAUCGGAGAGACUGAGGUCUGCAGCGUAGAUCCUCGGGGUUAGAUACAUUUGUGCUAAGUUAUAGCUUUCAUAGACAACUUGUGACUAUGUCAGUCAUGUAGCUUACUCGCUUUGCUAUUUACCUACGCUUAGGAUGUUGAC